rnacentral:piRNA from 1 species
UGCAAACUUGGAAAGGCCGGAGA